UGGCCUACAGUCUCAACUGUGUAUUAACUGUCCUUUACAGAAAGCUUGUGACCCUGUUCUAAACUGUUUCUCACUCUUGCCACUGGCUUGACAGUAGCUGUUUAGUUACUGGUGCAGGGAUGUGCAUGUGUGGAGGGAAGGCCAUUCUCCCUUGGUUUAUAGCUGAAAAUAGGUCAUCCUGCUGUGAAGUCUGAAUGUUUCUCCUUAUUCUACAAAAUACAAAAGAGAUGCACACGAAAAGAAGGUUCAGAAAAUGGUUACCAGGACCCUUAGAAGAAGAAGAGAAGCAUUCCACGUUUAUUGAUUUGAUUAAAUCAUGCAAAGAGGAGUUGGACAGAAAACAAUUUGUUUCAAACUGAAGGCAGUGCUGCCCUGUCGGUGGGCCACCCGGCUUUCUGAACCUGGGGAAAGAGCUUUUAAAGCCACAUGUGAUCGGGUCUGCAGGUUUCUUCAAGUUCCACUUGCACGUUCUACUUGCAGAAACUGUCCGAAGCGUUGCAUAAAAGCACGGUUAUGGAAUGGCUUGCCUCCAGCUACUCCUUUGUCUCAUUUACGUUGGAACUUUGCUCUUGGUGUUGGAUGUUGGGCACUGUCCUUCUCUGGGCAACCUUGGCUCCCUCCCUUCACCACAAUUCAAGCUCUUGCUAGCUUUUCUUCUCCAGGCCACAUUGUUGCAGCAACCUGCCUGAUUCUCCUCUCCCCUGGCUCUGCCUCAGCUUCACUGCCCUCCCAGUGUCAGGGCCCCAUGAAGCUUCCGUGUGUCCUUGAGGGGGAAACUGAAACCUAGGGGCUGAUGGAAUCUAAAGUAUAGAAUGUUAGACGUGAAAAUCCCAUAUCAAUCGCUCAGAAAGGGGGUUGCAAGUCAGGAGAGAGCGGAAGUGUGGAUCAAGAUCAAUGCUUUUAAAAGGCAGGAAACAAUCAGCAGGAGAACUGCAGAUUUAAAUGCAUUUUGAAGCACAGACUAAUGGGAUGUCAGCAGGACCCGUGGGCACCUUAGUGAUGGGUCCUGUUGUUGAAUGCCUGAGACACAGAGUCUGGGGCGAUGGAUGGUUGAGAGAGGGAUUGGGAGGGAUGGAGAUGGGGAGGAUGGCACGGAAAAAAAAGUUUGGGGGGAUGUACUACAUUGCAUGAGAAGUAGCCAGGAGUGGAAAGAGAGGAAUUUGGAGUCUGAUACACAGCACCAACAGGUCUCCCUCACCUCUGCUCUGUUAUUUGUCACAAGGGGAAGAAAUACCUACCCCAGGGCCACUGUGAGGACCAAAGAAAGCAAGGCACCUAGCACAGCUCCUGGCAGACAGCAGGCCCCUCCGGUCUUUCCUGCUUCCAGCUCCCUCCUCACAGCUUUUGACAUGUCCCACAAGGACUCGCACAGCGCCUGCAGAGUCGGGGGCUGGGUUCAUCCACUCUGUAAGGGUGGAUCCCAUCCCUCUGGAGCUGUGGUGCCCACCUCCGUGACCAGGUUGGGCUGAGACCUGUGACUUCAGAUGCCGUGGUGACCCGGGAGCUUGUGGCUCCUGCUCCAGCCCAGCGCCCGGCCAGAGCAGACCUGGCGGAGCUGCAGCGCCUGCCCUGGGCCUUGCCAGCUGUGUGCAUUUGCUUCAGAGCCUCAGAGUCAAAGGAGUCAUUCCGUCUUAUCUUGAUGCAUUUACUCUAAAGGUGCGGCGGAUGCAGCCUCCUCUUGCUGAUGCCGGUCGUGCUGCCUAGACCCUCGCUUCCGCCCGGAAACGCUCAACCCCUCGGCUGCUGGGACGUUGGUGGCUGAUGGCUCUCAGAUCACCGCCCACUCUCUUCUUUACCAGUUUGUGGCUGGUGCUGAGGAGUGUGAGAUAAAGAGCUGGCUGAAACCACUGAUGCCAUGUUACUGCUCAGGCUGGAAGAAGCCAAGACGCACAGUGCACAUUGGGGGCCUCUAGUGAUUUUCAGAGACAUCUGCGUGGCCUUCAAGACGGGGGAACAGCCUGGACUACAGCGUGAGGUAGGCAGUUGCCCAGCACAGCUGACUUUCACUCAUGUCCUCAGUCCUUGAGUUUCAAACCAGGGGCUCUGUUCUCCGUGACCCGUUAUAACUGGGGUCUUCUAUUUCAGGCCCUCGGAGCUCCACACAGAUGUCACUUUUUCCAGGAAGCACUCCUUGACCCGCCAAGGCUGGGCCAGCACCUAUCUGUGGGACCCCUCAGGACUGUGUACAGAGCCUGCAGCCAGCAUUCUCCCACCGAACUGUAACUGCCUGUUUGUCUCCUCCACUGGACUGUGAGUUCCUCGAAGGCAGGGGACUGUCCUGACCAUCUCUGAAUCCCCCACGCCAGUGAUGUCAUACCACCAAAUAGAAGACAUUCCAGUGUUUGUUAAAGGGACGGAUACCAAUGCCGUGAUGUCGUGCAUAUGAAAUAGAAAGCAAAAAGUUGUGGAUGUGGGCAACAGAAAGAGAAAAAGGACAGCGGAAAAAAAAUGUGACAAUGAAUAUAUGUAUGUUCAUGUAUAACUGAAAAAUUGUGCUCUACACUGGAGUUUGACACAACAUUGUAAAAUGACUGUAACUCAAUAAAAAAAUGUUUAAAAAAAAAAGAAAGAGAAAAAGGAAAAAUUAGAACGUGAGCGGGGCUGAGCGUUGAUAAGCAAGAGGAGAGUGAGUGGGGUGUCAGGAGAGGCGGGAGUCCCCCUGAUGAGCUAUGUACGCGAGUGUGAGUGUGUGUCCCCGACCCGUGGACUGGGACUCAGCACGCACGCCCACCCACCAGCAACCCAGACCCAUACCCGUCGGCUCUUGCCCAAACAGUGUCACAUUUAGUGCUUCCAGACCACCAAGACUGCCGGUACUGAUUCAGAGGAAGCAGUGUAAACUUGGCCAAACCCAAACAGGAAAGAGAGAGACUCCCUCUUACCUUCUAGCUCAUCAAGCUCAAGUGUCUUCUAAGGGGAUUCGCUGAUUUUGUUUACUCUGCUCAUCACCCCCACCCACCCCUCAGGGUGCCCUCCCUGCACGCACGCAGAGCCUGCACUGAGCUGGGGGCGCGGGAGGGGGGCAGGUGCCAAUAAUAACAACUCAACAGCGUAACUACAGUGACUCGAGGGCUGACUGUGUGUCCACUGCCGGCUCAGCGCUGACACACGGUAUCUCA